AAUAUAUAAUAAAAUAAUUAUGUUUUUGAAAAUUUAUUAUAAAUUUAUUUUACAUAUAAAUUUUAGUGUAUAAUUUUAAUUAUUUAAAUAAUAAUUAAUUUAAUUUUAGUAGUAAUUAAUAUUAAAAAUUUAAGAAAUUAAGAUUUAGUAAUAUAAAAAUUAAUAACUAAUUUUGUGCCAGCAGUUGCGGUUAAACAAAAGUUAAAUUAAAUUAUUUCAGUAUAUAAUAAAUAAUAAAAAUUAUUAAAAUAAAUAUUAAAUUAUUAAGUGAAAUUUUAAUUUAAUUAAAUUUUAUUUAAAAAUUAUGAUUUAAUAAAUUUUAAUAUAAACUAGGAUUAGAUACCCUAUUAUUAAAAAAUUAAUUUAUAAUACUAAAAUAGUAAAUAAUAAUUUAUUGAAACUUAAAUAAUAUGGCGGUAUUUUAGUUCAUUUAGAGGAAUCUGUCUAAUAAUUGAUAAUCCACGAAUAAAUUUACUUAAUUUAUAAUUUUGUAUAUCAUUGUUAAAAAAAUAUUUUUUAGGGAAAAUAAUAUUUAAAGUUUAUUAUAAAAAGUUAAAUCAGAUCAAGAUGCAGAAUAUAAUUAAGAAUAUGAUGGAUUACAUUAAAUAUAUUUAUAUGGAUAAUUUUAUUGUAAUAAAAAUUUGAAGGUGGAUUUAAAUGUAAUUUUAAUUAGUUUAUUAAAAUGAUUUUAAAUUAAAAUAUGUACAUAUUGCCCGUCACUUUCAUUUAAAAAUUGAAAUAAGUCGUAACAAAGUAGAGGUACUGGAAAGUGUUUCUAGAAAGAA
rnacentral:ncRNA from 1 species